rnacentral:SRP_RNA from 10 species
GGGAGCUGGGCUGGGAGCAGUUGUACUUGCCUGUAGUCCCAGAUACUCGGGAGGCUGAGGUGGAAGGGUCCCUUGAGCCCAGGAGUUCUGUGCCACCCAGAAUGAUGGAUCUGCACUAAGUUUGGCAUCAAUAUGGCACCCUCCCAGGAGCGGGGAACCACCAGGUUGCCUAAGGAAGGGUGAACUGGCCCAGGUCAGAGAUGGAGCCGAUCAGAACUCUCAUGCAGAUCAGUAGUGGGACCAUGCCUGUGAAUAGUCGCUGCCCUCCAGCCUGGGCAACAUAGUGAGACCCUGUCUCU